AUACCGGCGGCUCGAGUGGUGGCCACUUUUAUUGGGCUUAAAGCGUUCGUAGCUUGAAUAAUAAGUCUCUUGGGAAAUCUGCAGGCUUAACCUGCAGGCGUUUAAGAGAAACUGUUGUUCUAGGAACCGGAAGAGGUGAGAGGUACUCCGGGGGUAGGAGUGAAAUCCUGUAAUCCCCGGGGGACCACCGAUGGCGAAGGCAUCUCACCAGGACGGCUUCGACAGUGAGGAACGAAAGCUGGGGGAGCGAACCGGAUUAGAUACCCGGGUAGUCCCAGCCGUAAACGAUGUGCGUUAGGUGUGCCGGUGACCACGAGUCACUGGGGUGCCGAAGGGAAACCGUGAAACGUACCGCCUGGGAAGUACGGUCGCAAGGCUGAA
rnacentral:rRNA from 2 species